UACGGGGGGAGCAAGCGUUGUUCGGAUUUACUGGGCGUAAAGGGCGCGUAGGCGGUCAGCACAAGUCAGUUGUGAAAUCUCCGGGCUUAACUCGGAAAGGUCGACUGAUACUGUGCGACUAGAGUGCGGAAGGGGCAACUGGAAUUCUCGGUGUAGCGGUGAAAUGCGUAGAUAUCGAGAGGAACACCUGCGGCGAAGGCGGGUUGCUGGGCCGACACUGACGCUGAUGCGCGAAAGCCAGGGGAGCGAACGGG
rnacentral:rRNA from 1 species